rnacentral:rRNA from 1 species
GUAGGGUAUAAAGGUCCUUACAACCGGAAGGAUGGGUAGCUGGUUCGAAGAGACGAUCAGCACGCUGGACUGAGAACACGCCAGACUCCUACGGGAGGCAGCAGUGGGGAUCCUGCGCAAUUGGGGGCACCUGACGCAGCGACGCCGCGUGUGUGACGAAGGCUUCGGGUCGUAAAGCACUGUCAGGUGGGAAGAAGGCGCAGGCGGCUUCGGUCGUCUGCGUGACGGUACCGCCGAAAGGAAGCACCGGCCAACUCCGUGCCAGCAGCCGCGGUAAGACGGAGGGUGCAAGCGUUGUUCGGAAUCAUUGGGCGUACAGGGUGCGCAGGCGGCCUGGCAAGUCCGAUGUGAAAGCCCGGGGCUCAACUCCGGAAUCGCAUUGGAAACUGUCAGGCUUGAGUCCGAGAGGGGCCAGUGGAAUUCCUGGUGUAGGGGUGAAAUCCGUAGAGAUCAGGAGGAACACCGGCGGCGAAAGCGACUGGCUGGAUCGGGACUGACGCUGAGGCACGAAAGCGUGGGCAGCGAACAGGAUUAGAUACCCUGGUAGUCCGCGCCCUAAACCAUGUUCACUGGACGUUGGAUGGGUCAAACCGUCCAGGGUCGAAGCUAACGCGUUAAGUGAACCGCCUGGGGAGUACGGCCGCAAGGCUAAAACUCAAAGGAAUUGACGGGGGCCCGCACAAGCGGUGGAGCAUGUGGUUUAAUUCGAAGCAACGCGAAGAACCUUACCUAGGUUUGACAUCCCGCGAACCUCCCCGAGACGGGAGGGUGCCCCUUGGGGAGCGCGGUGACAGGUGCUGCAUGGCUGUCGUCAGCUCGUGCUGUGAGGUGUUCGGUUAAGUCCGGCAACGAGCGCAACCCCUGUCCUUAGUUGCUACCACGUCAUGGUGGGCACUCUAGGGAGACUGCCGGCGCAAAGCCGGAGGAAGGUGGGGAUGACGUCAAGUCCUCAUGGCCCUUAUGCCUAGGGCUACACACGUGCUACAAUGGUCGGUAUAGCGGGAGGCGCCACCGCGAGGUGAAGCCAAUCCUUCAAAGCCGGCCUCAGUUCGGAUUGCAGUCUGCAACUCGACUGCAUGAAGGAGGAAUCGCUAGUAAUCGCGGAUCAGAACGCCGCGGUGAAUUCGUUCCCGGGCCUUGUACACACCGCCCGUCACACCAUGGAAGUCACCUGCUCCAGAAGUCGGUGACCCAACUGCUUGCAGAGGAGCCGCCGAAGAGUAUC